rnacentral:lncRNA from 1 species
CCAUGUCCUCUUUCACAUCCUUUUGGAAUCAUCUCAUUUGGAUCCAUGGUUUGAGAGAUACAUUCAUUUAAAGUGGGCACCAUGACUUGAUUUUCUAGGCAGAUUUUAGGCCUGGCUGGCCCAAUCAGAUUUUCUAAGCAUGCUGCACAAACCAGUCACGUUUUUUACCUCUUUUGGCCAUGCAUUGGACAUCCAUUCACUUAAGUUUGGCCCAAAGUAAC